ACUCCCAAUCCCAAUAGGUAAUCGUGACCGUUGGAAUUAGAUACGCGCGCGGGGCAAUCUUAUGGAUGUGUGAAAAAGUAUCUUAAAAGUAGUUACUGCCCAAAGAUGCACUUCACGAAUCCAUCGCACAGAUGAAGGGAUCAUAAAAUCCGAACUAAAUCACAAGAACCAACGGAUUACACGGAAUUGCCCAACUCGCCAUUGUUGAGAUGUCCACAAGUGUUUGGGGUCAGCACACAAAGCGGAGCACUUGUCGCGACAAUUAGCGACUUAAAUCGCGAAUGAGAACGAGUAUCUGUAUCUGUGUCUCAGUUUGAAUCGGAUUCGGAUGGCGAUCCGAUCUGGACGCUCGCGUUCUUCAGCUGUUCCAGCGCUCAACUGAAAAGUUAACUUGGAAAUUACUUCGUAUGCGGCCAUAAUAAUAAGCGUACAAUCAUAAUGCCGACACACAUUCGCGCGCUCACACGUACAGCAGCGGGCAAAAAUCUAGCAUCUCAGAGUAAAGUUAAGAUGUGACAAAAGCAAGCGGAUGUUACUAUCUUAAGUAGAAGUGAGGAAGUAUAAGUAUAUAUUUCUUUCUUAUACCACAAACUAUAUGUGUAAUUAGUUAUUAUUUAACUAGUAAAUUGUAUUUCGUUGACUUCACUUGUGAGCACGAGUGUCGGGCACAAACAAACGCUCACACCUAAAUCCAAAGAACUUUUGUUCUCUUAUUGUGCUUGUAGAAUGCACUCAGAUUCUCUCAACGCCAUUUGUGUCAUAGUUACCGCUAAAGAAAAGAACAGCAGCCAUAGACAACCUAUAACAAACCUCUUGGGAAAACGAAGAUCGGCGGAACGACUUUUUUCGUUCGCUUAGCUGCUCACCGCGGAAUUAACCACUUAGCGACUGCACUGUAAUUUC
ensembl:ncRNA lncRNA:CR45681 long non-coding RNA:CR45681